GAGGAAAAGAAACCAACAGGGAUUGCCUCAGUAACGGCGAGUGAAGCGGCAACAGCUCAAAUUUGAAAUCCGGCUCUUUUAGGGUCCGAGUUGUAAUUUGUAGAGGAUGCUUCGGCGUCGGCUCCGGUCUAAGUUCCUUGGAACAGGACGUCAUAGAGGGUGAGAAUCCCGUAUGUGAUCGGUUGCCCUUGCCAUGUGAAGCUCCUUCGACGAGUCGAGUUGUUUGGGAAUGCAGCUCUAAAUGGGAGGUAAAUUUCUUCUAAAGCUAAAUACUGGCCAGAGACCGAUAGCGCACAAGUAGAGUGAUCGAAAGAUGAAAAGCACUUUGGAAAGAGAGUCAAAAAGUACGUGAAAUUGUUGAAAGGGAAGCGCUUGCAACCAGACCUGCCUGCAGUUGCUCAUCCGGGCUUUCGCCCGGUGCACUCUUCUGCUGUCAGGCCAGCAUCAGUCCGGGCGGUCGGAUAAAGGCUUCGGGAAUGUAGCUCCUCUCGAGGAGUGUUAUAGCCCGUUGCGAAAUGCGGCCAGCCUGAACUGAGGUCCGCGCUUCGGCUAGGAUGCUGGCGUAAUGGUUGUAAGCGGCCCGU
rnacentral:rRNA from 1 species